UAAAUAGGCGAGUAACGCCUAGAAGAGAGAUCUUUUCCCAGCGAACAGAAGACCACUUUUCUAUUUCCACGUAUUUUUCUUGCUUUUCUAGGAGUAGUCUAUCUGUAAUAUUCUUUUUCCUGCAUUUACUGCCUUUUCUAAGAGUAGUCUUUAAGUUAGAUUUCUAGAGUCUGUAUGCCUUACAGGCAUACUCUCUUUUGUACGAAUUUUCAACUUUAAGUUUUAAU
rnacentral:lncRNA from 1 species